AUGUCGGCCACCAAGCCUACGGUAGUGAUGACAGAGAGGAUGGCGGGGGCGGGGCAGACCUGGUUCUCGUGGUAACGCCAUGCUUCUACAAGGGCAUGAUGGACAGCAGGGCGCUGGUUCACCACUUCACACAGGUGGCAGACAGUAGUCCAGUACCAGUAGUUCUGUACAGUUGUCCCGGCUAACACAGGUCUUGACCUCCCUGUUGAUGCUGUGGUGAGACUGGCCCAACACCCUAACAUACUGGGACUCAAGGACAGCGGAGGAGACAUCACCAGGAUCGCUCUGAUCGUUCACAAAACGAAGCCGCAGGAUUUUCAGGUUCUGGCGGGUUCCGCUGGGUUCCUUAUGGCGGCGUAUUCCGUGGGUUGUGUGGGCGGUGUGUGUGCGCUUGCCAACGUGCUGGGGCGUGAGGUGUGUGAGCUGGAGCAGCUGUGUGUGUCGGGACGGUGGGAAGAAGCCAGUGCUCUGCAGCAGCGCCUCAUAGAGCCCAACACUGCUGUGACCAGGAAGUUCGGCGUUCCCGCUCUCAAGCAGGCGAUGGAGUGGUUUGGUUACCACGGUGGCACCUGUCGCUCUCCUCUUCAACCGCUCUCAGAGGCCGAAUCACAGCAGCUUAGACUGGACUUUUCCACCAACGGCUGGCUCUGAAGGGGACAGGGGGCGGGACUGAGUAGAAGACAGGGGACUGGGCCUGCUCCAGGUUGAAGUUGGCGUCAUAGAAUAGAAUGCGUAGAACAUUAUGGCAUCAUUGACUUGAAUGUGGAUUUCCUUUCUACUCAUUCUAAUUAUAUGGUUGUCUCUAACCACAGAUCUAGGAUCAGAUGACUCUACACCCAGUCCUAACCUUAACCAUUAAGGAGUUGAGAAAAGAUGUGACCCUGUAUCAGUUGUUAGGGGCAACAUCAACCUACUGUGACUGUUUCAUACAUGCAUAGCUUCCUUCCCUUCCUGGCCUUACAUCUAAGAGGACUUGAUAGUUGGAAGCAAUAACCAAUCCAGUCCUUUCACCUAUCAGUGGUCUUGCUGCCUUGCUAUAUAGGAGGCCGUUGUGAGGGUGUUGUGUGUUAGAGGCAUGUCCACACUGUAGGACUACCCCAAGGCCUCCCACCUGUAAUGGCCAUAGGGGUUGUGUCCCACAUCACACCCUAUUCACUACAUAGUGCACUGCGGUUGACCAGAGCCCUAUGGGUCCUGGUUAAAUAGUAGUGCACUGUAUAGGGGAAUGGGUUGCCAUUUUGGGACGCACCCUUUGACAUGAAUUAAAUACAGCAGGAUAUAAAAAGACAUGUAAGGAAUCAGUUUGUUUAUAUUCCCCAAGGAUGUUUUUCAAAUAAAGAGAAAGACCAUCUACCCAGCAACCGUCA